CUAGCUAUCCUCAAAUUCGUGAUUCUCCUGCCUCUAUCUCCAGAGUACUAAGAGAGUCUGUGCUCUUAAAUGAUCUGAUGUGCUGUAUUGAGUUUGGAAGGGACCAUCUUGACCAACCUCCUGCAUGUGUAGAACUUGACAGAGUAGUGUUUCCUUGAUCCUCACUGCUUACAGAGCUUCUCUCAUUCCUGAGGGGCUCCUGAGACUAGAUCGGCUAUCCCUAAUACUGAGCAGGAGUUGGUGAAUGAGGCAGUAGUUCCCUUUUCUACAGUCCCAGAUGAAUCCAACUCUGACCUUCAUCAGUGGGUGAUCUAGCCUCUUUGAACAUGUUUCUUCAUCUGUAAAGUGAAAAUAUUGCUUCAUGGGAUCAAUUAGGGGAUUAAGUAAGAUAACGUACUUAGCAGCUUCUGGCUGUAAGUACGUGCUUAAUAAGUGUUAGCAAUUUUUAUUAUUGUCCUUUAACCUUGAGCAAACCAGGAAACAAUUUCUCAGAGACCAGAUUCUAAGACUUAGGUAGGUGGGCAGUUUUCUUUGGUUUUGACAAGACAAUAAUCUUAUUCUAUGUAUUUCUCUUGACUCUUUUGGUGUGAAAAGCAGAGAGGUAAAGCAUUAUUUGACAGAUGUAUGGAUUCAAGCAAGAAACUGAGGUCCAAUUGCAAGGAAAUGCUUGUAUAACUCUGAGCCCUGUCUGAGGAGACACAGAGGACCCUAGAGGGCGGAGAAUGAACACAGCGCAGGGGCUAGUUCCAGAGUCGCACCUUCGGUUAGUUGACUUACAAGUGUGGGUGAGGGUCCCUUGUCAGUAGGCAGAUUUUUCCCCCUCUGCUCCAAUACAUACCUACUGGCUCAUGUUUACUACAACAUUUUUUUCUUGAUGUGAAAGAGUUUAUGACUUGUCUAAAAUGGAGAGGCAAGGGGGCUCUGUAACUAUAAGCUUUCUGAGCCCCUUUUCCUACUUGUUCCUGUGUCACACUUUCCUAAAGGCUUGUUUGCCAAUGGUUGCUCCUCAGAUCUCAGGGUUGGUUCACUGUGUAGGCUCCAAACCAAAGUCGUGAUGCUGCCACCACCACCGACACCACCACCACUGCUGCUGCCACCAGUUACUCAGAGUUUCCUGCCAUAAGAAAGUGAUCUGCUGUGAAGCUUUCUCCCUCUUCCUUUGUUCUGUCUUUGGUGUUGUACCUCUCUCCUGGUGCUUUUGCCAUGCAUCCAGUGUUCCAUAAAAUUUUUAGACACCAAAGUUAUAGACCUUACUACCCCUCCAAAGAGAUGAGUUAGUCAUGGAAAAGAAGGUAACAGAGAGGGCUUCUAUGCCACUGUGCUACAGAAGGAAGAAUUUGCUUCUUGUUAGUGUCAGGGAGCUAGGUAGGAGACUUGCUCAGACUGAUGACAGUAUGCUACACAACCUCUGGAGGAGUAAUUGGGCCUCGCCUGCCCAAGGACAAAGACCCAGCCUCCUGGAGCCAAGGCUGAAGACCAACUUCACUUUCUUCCACUCCCCUGCCCUAAACUUAAACUUGCUUUGCUGCACUGCCCCAAGUCUGUGGCUUAAAACAGCCAUCUCCUUUUGUUGAUGAAUAAGCUCACUCUUUAUAAAAUGUUUCAGCUUGGGGACUGGAAAGGUUCUCUGUACCUUCCGUCUCUCUGUAUUUCUCUAAGAAUUGAUGUUGAUAGCUUCUGUUUUCUUUGCAGGGAACUCUAAUGAUCCAUGACAAAGAGGUUACCCUUGAGUAUGUACCAAGCCCAGAUUUUUGGUACUGCAAACGGUGUAAGACCAGCAUUGGUGGUCAUCAGUCUUCAUGUUCAUUCUGCAAGUGCCCAAGGGAAGAGGUGAAGCAAGAAUUAAUAACUUACCCUCAGCCUCAGAAAACAUCCAUACCAGCACCAUCAGAAAAACAACCUAUCCAGCCCCCACGACCAAGUGAUAGAGAACCUGAAUCCAGGAAACGGGAAGAAGGACAAGAACCACGCUUAGGAUAUCAAAAGAGAGAAGUAGAAAGAUACUUAUCUCAUUCUCGAAGAGAAGGGCUUAAUUUCCGAAGAGACCGAGAGAAGGAGCCAUGGUCUGGAGAGACACGGCAGGAUGGAGAGAGCAAAACCAUCAUGCUAAAACGCAUCUAUCGUUCUACUCCACCUGAGGUGAUAGUGGAAGUGCUGGAGCCCUAUGUCCGCCUUACUACUGCCAAUGUCCGUAUCAUCAAGAACAGAACUGGUCCCAUGGGCCAUACCUAUGGCUUUAUAGACCUUGACUCCCAUGCGGAAGCUCUUCGGGUAGUGAAGAUCUUGCAGAAUCUUGAUCCACCAUUUAGCAUUGAUGGGAAGAUGGUAGCUGUAAAUCUUGCAACUGGAAAGCGAAGAAAUGAUUCUGGGGACCAUUCUGACCACAUGCAUUACUAUCAGGGUAAAAAAUAUUUCAGAGAUAGGAGAGGAGGUGGCAGAAAUUCAGAUUGGUCUUCAGAUACAAAUCGACAAGGACAUCAGUCAUCAUCUGACUGCUACAUAUAUGAUUCUGCUACUGGCUACUAUUAUGACCCCCUGGCAGGAACUUAUUAUGACCCAAACACCCAGCAAGAAGUAUAUGUGCCCCAGGACCCUGGCUCACCUGAGGAAGAAGAGAUCAAGGAAAAGAAACCCACCAGUCAAGGAAAGUCAAGUAGUAAGAAAGAAAUAUCUAAAAAAGAUAGCAAGGAGAAAAAAGACAGAGGAGUGACAAGGUUUCAGGAAAACACCAGUGAGGGGAAGGCCUCCCCAGAAGAUGUCUUUAAGAAGCCCCUGCCUCCCACUGUGAAGAAGGAAGAGAGUCCCCCUCCACCGAAGGUGGUAAACCCACUGAUUGGCCUCCUGGGUGAAUAUGGAGGGGACAGUGACUAUGAAGAAGAAGAGGAAGAGGAACAAACCCCUCCUUUGCAGCCCCGCACAGCACAGCCUCAGCAGCGGGAAGAGCUGUCCAAGAAGGAAAAUGAAGAAGAUAAACUCACUGACUGGAAUAAACUGGCUUGUCUGCUCUGCAGAAGGCAGUUUCCCAAUAAAGAAGUUCUAAUCAAACAUCAGCAGUUGUCAGACCUGCACAAGCAAAAUCUGGAAAUCCAUCGGAAGAUAAAACAGUCUGAGCAGGAGCUAGCCUAUCUGGAGAGGAGAGAACGGGAGGGAAGGUUUAAAGAAAGAGGAAAUGAUCGCAGGGAAAAGCUCCAAUCUUUUGACUCUCCAGAAAGGAAACGGAUUAAAUACUCCAGAGAAACUGACAGGUAUGACAGAAUCUCUUCUCUCAUCUACAGCCUCAAGACUUGGUGAAAUCAUCUUCUCCAAAUGUGCUGCUAUUUUCUUUUUCAGGGAUGUGAGGUUAUCAGAAGCCAGUUUUGUCUGAACUCCAUGAGCAUGAGAUCUACCCUGGCCUUUUUACCACUUGUCUGCACUGAAAAUUGAUCGUAAGCCUGUUGAUAAAGAAGACACUGACACUAUCAGCAAAGGAGGUUGUGCCCAGCAGGCCACUGGCUGGAGGAAAGGGGCAGGCCUGG